UCAGUUGUUGCUAAGUAAUGCUUGCCCUGAUCAAGGACUUUUCAGUCUCUCAUUCUCUGCCAGUGAGGAGGGCACAAGAAGCUGGGAGGAAGCAGAGACAGGACACCUGAUCUAAACUAGUCAAAGGGGUAUUCCAUACCACAGCACAUCAUGCCCCGUAUAGAAACUGGGGGGAACUAUGCAGAAGGCCCACAUCACUGCUCAGGUUGGGCUGGGUAUCGAUCAGCAGGUGUUCCCUGGAUACCAGCUGCAAUAUUACAAGAUAAACAUUUGCUGUCCUCCAUUUCAAUGCAAGAUGUUUUGAAGAAUCCAAGCCAGAAACCAGUGUGAAGAUAACUUACCUUUUUAUUUGCUCUACUCCAGUCUAUUCUCAUGGAACCAGGAGCCUUUCAACCACCAGCACCCCUUUACUAUCAUUCUCCUCUGAUACAACCUAGAUUCAGCUAGCAAAUAACCAAACAUAAAGUACUGAGGAGAAAUAUUGCAGACUUCCUUAGACUAAGAACUAAGGAUUAUUAUGAAAACUGUUUCUCUCCUGGCAAUACCCAUACCAUAGAAACAAAAAAAGCCUUGGUGUUCUCCAGUAACUACAUGAAUCUGUGAAAAUAACCUGUUCCUUAUCACCUUGACACCAAUGCACAAAGCUUUUCACUCCACAAUCCAUCCCCUUCUCCAGCUGUCUUGAUGUUUAGAUGAUAGCAUAGAAAAAAACUUUCAACAAUGAAGGCGGACAAAUGAAAGGUGGUAGGAGGAAGGAAGUGCCUCCUGAUCAUCUUCCAGUAACAAGAACAUCCAGCCUUAAAUUAUUCAACCCACUCUUCAAUUUUGGAACCUUUCAAGAUGCUACGUUAUUGGCUGCCCAAACUGCCAUGGCAGCAAAAAUAAAUAAACUUCCAACUGCAAUGACCCCGAAAUAGAUUUUCUAAUAAGAAAACAGACCUUAUAAACUGGAGUGUAGGAGUUCUCACCUUGAUUAUUGCAAUCACAGAAUCACAGGGUGGUUUGGGUUGGAAGGGACCAGUCCAAUCCCCCUGCAAGGAGCAGGGACAUCUUCAAGUAGAUCAGGUUGCCCUGUCCAACCUGAUCUUGAAUCUUUCGAGGGAUGGGGCAUCUACAACCUCUCAGGGCAGUAUGCCCAGUGUUUCACCAUCCUCAUUGUAAAAAAUUUCUUCCUUAUAUCUAGUCUGAAUCUACCUUUUCUAAUAUAAAACCCUUGUCCAUCACAACGAGCCCUGCUGAAAAGUUUGUCCUCAUCUUUCUUAUACCUUCCUUUAAGUAGUGGAAGGCUGCAUUAAGAUCUCUCCAGAGCCUGCUGUUCUCCAGACUGAAUGACGCCAACUCUCUCAGCCUUUCCUCAUAGGAGAGGCGUUCCAUCGUUCUGACCAUCUCUGUGGCCCUCCUCUGGACCCACUCCAACAGGUCUAUGUCUUUCUUGUACUGGAGAUGCGAGCUGAAUCCAGGUGGGGUCUCACGAGAGCAGAGCAAAAGGAGAGAAUCACCUCCAUUGACCUGCUGCUGGUGGUGCAGCACCAGGACACAGGUGGCUUUCUGAGCUGCCAUCACAUAUUGCCAGCUCAUGCCCAAUUUUUCAUUCACCAGUAUCCCCAAGUCCUUCUCCACUCUCAAUUAAUUCAUCCCCCAGACUGUACUGAUGUUGUGAAUUGUCCCAACCCAUGUGCAGGACCUUGCACUUGAUCUUGUUGAACUUCAUGAGGAUUGCAUGGGCCCACUUCUUAAGCCUAGAUGGCAUCCCUUUCCUCUAGCAUAUCAACUGUACCACUCAGCUUGAUGUUAUUUGCAAACCUGCUGAGGGUGCACUUGAUCCCACUAUGUUGUUGAUAAAGAUACUCAAUAGUAUUGGUCCCAGUAUGGACCCUUGAGGGAUACCAUCUGUUACUAGUUUCCACUUGGACAUCAAGCUACUGACUGUAACUCUUUGGACAUGGCCAAUCAUUGUACUUAAGAAUGAAACCACCUAAAGAAUAGACCUCAGAAGACUAUUUACUCAUCAAUAUCAACUAUAAGGUACACACCAGUUACGUUCUCCACUCAGUCUCUGACCUGUCCUGCAAAGUACCACUGGAAAUGGCUCUGAGAGGAAGCAUCUAAAACUGGCACUGUCCUGUAUCAAGAAAACACUUUGAAGGAGGAAAGAACUUCACUAUGGCUUCAUUCAUACAUACAUACAUAUACGGAACCCACUUUUAAUGCUGCUUCCCUGGAAGAAUGUGCUGCUGAGCUGUUGUAUGUACUGCUGGCCACCAGAUACAAUAUUCUGAUAAGAGCUACAGACACCGACAUUCACUAUUUCUUGCUAUUGCUCCUGUUGAACAGGAAAACACAAGCUGGCUCAGAUGGCACACACCUUGUGAUUUGUUUGAAACACA